rnacentral:tRNA from 1 species
GGGGUUGUGGCUCAGUGAUAGAGUGCUUGCUUGCCUAGCAUGUGUAAGGCACUGGGUUCAAUUCUCAGUACCACA